rnacentral:misc_RNA from 1 species
CACACACACACACACACACACACACACACACACACACACACACACACACACACACAUACUCAGAUACCCUCAAACUCAUACACUCAUACCUGCAUACACCCAAACAAACUCAUACUCAUAACCACAUACCUACAUACACUCAAGACAUAAUUACACAGACACAUAUAAACACAUAUACACAAAAACACACUCGCACUCACAUGCCCAUGAACUCAUACCCUCAUACACUUGCAAAUAUAUUUGCGGGUUUGUUUUAAUUGUGCGAGGGCUGACCCAAUGAAUGUUCACAUAUGUAGAGAUACAUAUACACAGAAAUAUCAGUGUGAUAUAUAUACGCAUUUAUUUAUCUAUCAAUACAGUAGAUAUGCAUGUAUAGAUUGAUAGAUAUGCAUUUAUUUCUGUGUUUAUGCAUGUCUGUAAUGAAUGUUUCUUGGGUCAGGCCUUGCCCAACUUUAACAAACUGGCCGAUAAAUGCUCACUCACUCAUGCACCCAUACAUACAGUUGUGAACAACAGAAUCAUUAGUAUUGGGUAUUAGGAUUCACCUUUAAUAUCUGUUAUUGUACUUACUUAGUCUGUACUUAGUCUGUGCAUACACAGACGUUAGAUUUAUGAUGGUAAUUUCAGUAUAAGAGGAAGAAUAACCUUGUUUUAUCUGAAAUGAACAAUAGUUUUACGUCAGUGACAUUUAGUUUUCUCAGGAAAUGUUCAUUGACAAAUAAGGAAAUGGAACUUUUUUUUUUUUUACCUCUAGCCUUUACUUUUGUAUAGCAUAGUGUACUAAAGGGAAAUGAAAUAGGUAGAAGAACCUUUUGAGUGACCAAAGUGGAGAAAUAAGGCAAUGGGAAUUCACCCAACACGAUUACUCCGUCAACGGAGUUUACCACCACCCACUGUGCUUAUGCAGCGAGAUGUUAAGGAAACUGUGAAGUGUUUGGAAGGGCGGAGACAGGGCGCAUGGGGCAAACAUGGAGAUCUCUUCAGCUGGAGGGAUUGGAAAGACUCGGUUUGGGUGAGGAAUGAUGACGCAAGUCACGUUGGUUCCUGCGAAGAGCCACACGCAUAUGAUUUGGUUAUGGUGAUGGCUUAUGUUGUGUUGUGGUUCCUGAUGGUGAUGCUGGUGCUGUCUGUGGGAUGUCUCACUCUGGUAUCAGCCACUGUAUUCCUGUCAACACUUACACCAAAGUUCUAUGUGGCCCUUACAGGAACCUCAUCUCUUAUCUCAGGCUUAAUACUAAUAUUUGAGUGGUGGUACUUUCGAAAAUAUGGGACCUCGUUCAUUGAACAGGUGUCCCUCAACCACCUCAGUCCCUGGAUUGGGGGCGGGGAGAACACCACCACAGAAAACACCAAUACCAAUCCCAACAAUAACAAUAAUCAACAAAGUGUUCCAGAGUGUAAAGUAUGGCGGAAUCCGCUGAAUCUUUUCCGAGGCUCUGAGUACCAGCGAUUAACAUGGUCAACCAAGAAGGAGCCCCUGACAUAUUAUGACAUGAAUUUAUCUGCACAAGACCACCAGACAUUCUUCACUUGUGAGGCAGAUGCAGGGAAGCCAGAAUAUGAAAUAAUGCAGACAGCAUGGAGAGAAAGAAACCCAGAGGUUCGCAUCAAGUCAGCACAUUCUGCCUUGGAACUAAACCCAGAGUGUGCCUCAGCAUACAUUCUCUUAGCUGAGGAGGAAUGCAACUCCAUUGUGGAGGUGGAAAAAAUGCUUAAAACAGCAUUGAAAUAUGCUGAAGUUAAUUAUAGAAAGUCACAAACUACCCAGCAUCAAAGUCCAGUAAUGGAAGCUUUGCACAGUAAGUUCAGGCGGGACAGAAAUGUAUUUAUUUACAUAAAAAGACGACUUGCCAUGUGUGCAAGAAAACUUGGCAAGAUGAAGGAAGCAAUAAAGAUGUUCAGGGAUCUAACAAAGGAAGUGCCUCCAAUUAUGAAUGUCUUAAACCUACAUGAAAAUUUGUUAGAGGCAUUACUUGAGGUUGGUGCAUAUGCUGAUGCACAAGCUGUUCUUGCAAAAUAUGAUGACAUUGCUCUCCCAAAGUCUGCAACUAUAUGUUAUACAGCAGCACUGCUAAAAGCAAGAGCAGUAGCAGAUAAAUUUUCUCCAGAUAUAGCAAGUAAACGUGGUCUCACAGCAGCAGAAAUGGCAGCUGUAGAAGCUAUUCACCGUGCUGUAGAAUUCAACCCACAUGUACCAAAGUACUUGCUGGAGAUGAAGCCCCUUAUUCUUCCUCCUGAGCAUAUCCUUAAAAGAGGAGAUUCUGAAGCCAUUGCAUAUGCCUUCUUCCACCUCCCACAUUGGAAAAGAGUUGAAGGAGCACUGAACCUCCUGCAUUGCACAUGGGAAGGAACAUUCCGUAUUAUUCCUUAUCCUUUGGAGAAAGGACACUUGUUUUACCCUUACCCAACUUGCACUGAAUGUGCAGACCGGGAACUUCUGCCAUGCAGAUAACAAAUGAAGAUGGCCAAUCAAAUAGAAGUAAGAAUAGCUUGCUUGGACCAGGAUGCAUAGCUGUAAGCUUUCCAUGAGGUAUCUGUCUACCCAAAAAAGGAGUUGCCAUUCUUCAUUGUAUUCACUGCAGGGCUUUGCUCCUUUACUGCAUUAUUGGCUCUCUUAACACACCAGUAUCCUGAGCCCAUGGGUGCCCUGGCCAAGACA